rnacentral:rRNA from 1 species
UACGUAGGGUGCGGGCGUUAAUCGGAAUUACUGGGCGUAAAGCGUGCGCAGGCGGCUCCUUAAGUCAGAUGUGAAAGCCCCGGGCUUAACCUGGGAACUGCGUUUGAAACUGGGGAGCUAGAGUGUGGAAGAGGGGGGUGGAAUUCCAGGUGUAGCAGUGAAAUGCGUAGAGAUCUGGAGGAACACCGAUGGCGAAGGCAGCCCCCUGGGCUAACACUGACGCUCAUGCACGAAAGCGUGGGGAGCAAACAGG